rnacentral:lncRNA from 1 species
CGAUUCUCCUGCUGCGGAAACUAAGUCACAUUGUCCUACUUACCACAGCUACGGAUACGUCUGUAUGAAAAUCCAGGAAAAGGUCUGUCGUGGAUUGCACCUCUCAUCCAGAGGUUAGGUCUGAGUCUUUAAUAGAUCAGGAUUUAACCCUUAUUUCUUCAAAAAAAAAAAAAUAUUACCAUUUUAAUAGUGCAUACAUUUCUUAUACACAAUAAAAAGUUACCACUGGAUUUGAAGUAGGAUGACCAAUAUUUUCUAGUUGAAUCAUAAUGAUAGGUGAUUUUUUUAACACUGGUCAAAUCAUCGAUUACACUACUGUACAAUAUCUAUUCUAUUAUGGUAUUAAAGUAGAAAAUUUGAAUUUAGAUAAAUAUACAUAUGUAAAUGUGUAAAUACAUUUCUCAACACGAUAAAUGUCAUUUCAGAAAGAAAAAAAUUCUUAAUAGAAACAAAACGAAAACGUUAUAUGUUGAUUAGUAUUAAUACUUUUCAACGUUCUAUUUCAUUAGUAUUCGGGUGUUUGCGAAUUUAUGAAUCAUAACUUUUCACAAGCGAAAAUUAAAUUAAAUGC